rnacentral:rRNA from 1 species
GUCUCAAAGAUUAAGCCAUGCAUGUCUAAGUACAGGCCUAAGCAAGGCGAAACCGCGAAUGGCUCAUUAAAUCAGUUAUGGUUCAUUGGAUCUUACCCUUUCUUACUUGGAUAACUGUGGUAAUUCUAGAGCUAAUACAUGCUAAAAACCUCGACUUCGGAAGGGGUGUAUUUAUUAGAUAAAAAACCAAUGCCCUUCGGGGCUCCUUGGUGAAUCAUAAUAACUUAACGAAUCGCAUGGCCUUGCGCCGGCGAUGGUUCAUUCAAAUUUCUGCCCUAUCAACUUUCGAUGGUAGGAUAGUGGCCUACCAUGGUAUCAACGGGUAACGGGGAAUUAGGGUUCGACUCCGGAGAGGGAGCCUGAGAAACGGCUACCACAUCCAAGGAAGGCAGCAGGCGCGCAAAUUACCCAAUCCCGACACGGGGAGGUAGUGACAAUAAAUACUGAUACAGGGCUCUUUUGGGUCUUGUAAUUGGAAUGAGUACAAUUUAAAUCCCUUAACGAGGAACAAUUGGAGGGCAAGUCUGGUG